rnacentral:lncRNA from 1 species
CAUUUUAUGACCUUCAUACUUCUACAAGGAAACAACAUGAAAAGUCAAGCUUUAACGUUGCAAGCUUGCGCAAAUCUAAGAAGAUGGAAUUUUAAUAUCUUUAAUAUGAGAAACAUCACAGUUAUUGGCAUAUUGAAAUAAUAUUUUUAAGCUUCUUCCGGUCGAAAAUAUUAAUGCAGAUAAAGUGUAAUUCCUGAUAAUUUAUAAUAUCAAGGACUUUUAAUAAUUUAACUUUUAUGCUAAGGGGCUUUUCUGCUAUUAAAAAAAAACUGUUGGUUAUCGUUGGUUGACAUUAAUUUUAUCAAAAGGAAACCUCAUGACAGUCAAUUGAUUAGAAGUUACAAUAAUUAAAUACUUUUAUUAGUCUAAAGUUUGAACAUGUCAAAUAUUGGAGGAUUAAGUGCUGAUCAUAUUGGAGGAUGCAACAACUUGGUUAUUAAAAGAAACCAGUGAAAUAUAAAGAUGUAUUUAAAGCUAGUGAAAUCUUAUGUAUCGCUACAUUAAAUUUGAAUUUAUAAUUCUUAAACACAAUAAAUUCAAUGCUAAGAACUCAAAAUAUUAAAUUAUCAAAUAUAAGUGUUGCAUUAGCCACUUGACAGAGAUGGCUUAACAGUUGAAGAUUCUUCAGAAUGAUAAAUCUGGAAAAAUUGAAGUUCAAUCUCAGUAGAGGCAACCCCUUUCCUAUUUGUACUAAUUAAGGGCCAGUUUGGCCAUAUUCGAAUUUGUUUUUAUAUUUUUUUGAAAUUGGUGUUUGACCAUGAAAAUUUUAAAUUUUAUUUAAAGUUGAGUUUGAGAAUUUUUUGAAAAUUUGAAAACUCCAAAAAACUGUUUUCUAAAAUUUUUAUGUCAAAACACUCUGAAUAAACAGCUCCAAAUUAGAUUUAUGUAACAAGAGAACUCAAAUUUUUAAAUAGCAUUUUUACUUGAAUUGUGUUUUAUUUUUUCCCGAAAUUUCACAAUUCUUUAUGUCCAAGCCCACUAAAACUUUGGUGAAUAGUUGAACAGGUACACCCGCAGUGUGUUUUUUAGAAAGAAAGAGAAGAAGAAAUAUGAAAGCCAUAAAAAGUGGGUCCCAACACAACAUAUUUGGGGUCUUAUGUGUGGUGGCAAACAUGCUAUCGCUAUCCGACAACUGAAUUGCCAAAUCAACAUCGCACUACCUCAGUUCUUUGUUGAAUAGUCGUGUCCCAGUUGCCUUUCCUAUUUUAUAUUGUUCAGAGUCUUCAGUCAUUCUUACAACGAUCAAUCAAGACCCAAAAAGAAAAAGAAAAAGAUACGCCAUCUUCAGAUUGUUGAAUAGAGAGGAUGGAAGGAGGUAGAUUUGUAGGGGUGGCAGUGGAUUUCUCAGCAUGCAGCAAGAAAGCUCUGAAAUGGGCCAUUGACAACAUCCUUCGUAAAGGGGAUCACCUUAUUCUGGUCACUGUUCGCCCUGAAGGUCACUAUGAAGAAGGCGAGACGCAGCUCUGGGAGGUCACUGGUUCUC